GUGGGUGUAGCUCAGUGGUAGAGCGUGUGCCCAGCACACACAAGGUCCUGGGUUCAACCCCCAGCACCUCCA
rnacentral:tRNA from 1 species